GCAUCCAACGUUCCAUUUCAACUGUCACUCUGUGAGCCGAGCCCCUGGCGGUUGGGUGAACAGGACUAACAGUCCCCACGAUGGGGAACCUUAACUGCUGUUGUAUAGAAAUCUGUGGGGAGUGUCUCCUGGAGGAUGUGGAGACGCCCCCACCCACGCCACCCCCUCCACAAUGCCACAGCAAGAAGAGAGUCCGGUUCUCCCUCCACAAUGAGAUCUUCACAAUUGAGGACCCCGAGGAAGACCCUGUGGAGGGCCAGUCCAAGGACCUUCCUAGGAGCUGGACAAAAGAAGGUCCCCCAACUCUCCCUGAGGUAGACGCUGGGAGCAAGGACAGCUCUCUCCACGAUGACCUGAUGGAAGAGCUACUACCCACUUUGAGGGCCGAGGAGGAAACUCUGACUCUCCCUCAGGAGGCGGCGACUGGAUACACCCCAUAUGCUUAUACCCCCAUCACUCCCCUUAGGGGGACAGAUCUAACUCAACAAGGUAGGGUUUUCUCUCCUCCUUUGGUCUGGAGAGCGUCCCCCCUUCUGAGUUCCUCCCGGGAACAGAGGCUGGGGCGGACUGAACAAACGGAGUGUCCUGCAGAAACCCAGGACCCUGUGCUACAGUCCCUGCAAACCAGUAGGUCAUUCGGGCAGUGUGCUUGGUGCGUCGGAGGGUUGGGGCUCGCUUUCGCGUGGGUCGAUGCGACGGGACCGGGCAUGUGGGUGUGUGGACUGCGUGCGUUUCACCAGAAGACAUCUCCCACUAAAUGGACUUGAGGGCACGGGUCAAAGUUUCAAAGCCAAACCUCCUUCAUCCCCGCUGCACACACCCCGCUAGGACACCACAUUCCUCACUGACCACAGCUCCACCUGGAGGGUUGCUCAGGAUUCCCUUUCCUCAGACAGGGAUGGGGAGAAAAGGGGCCCACAUCUGUCCUAGCUCGGGACGUUUCUCAGACAGGGUCAAAACACAAAGGAAUCAGAAGCUACUUUAGUCGACCCAAACAUCACCACCAGCCUUACAAAAACGCUCCCAUCUUGAAUGCACAUAGAGGGAAGGCUCACUAGAAAAUGGCAAUGGCCAGGAAAGCUUCAUCAUUAGCUUGGGGCCCAAUCCGACUUCCUGACAAUAUGCUACAUGGCCAGGUUAGAGAGUGCCCUUCUCUCGCCUGGCCUCCGCUCUCUCGUGAACUUGCCGGAUCCUGACUGGGGGAGCUGGGUCCUGGGAAACUGGGUCCCGCGGACUCCAAGGACACACCCACAGGCCACAGGAAAGGAAAGACUGGGAAGAAUCAGCACUUUGCGGAUGGGGACUCUGUUGGAAUGGUCAGAUGUCAGUACGUAGAAAUCCUGGGUCUUUGGUUUUCCUGACCCUGCAUGACUCAGGGACAAAUAGAAACCUAUAGGGUACUUGUGCUUGCAUUGCAUGCAACCCUGCCACACAGUGUUCUUCUGCAGAAAUACAAUCUCCUAGAAGAGGCGAGAGGUAGGUGGGAACAGCCAAGAAACGGUCUUGACCAUGACCAUGACACAGGCGCUGGUUGGAGGAACUUGCCUGUCAGUACGGAAUGUGUCUCUUAGUGUUUACCCUUUCUGCUUGAUGAGGUCACCCUGAUUCCACUCCCUGUAGCUCAAGUUUAGAGUCAAUAUUUCUCCCUCCAUUCCUGCUCCUUGCCCUGACCUCUCUCGAUGCAGCAGCAGCUUGCUCAGUCCAUACCCACGCCAUACACUCCCGGGCACGCCCACCCCAAGCGAAACUCCCUGAGCUCUUCCUGCAGAGCCCCACCAGUGGACUGACCAUUCUGUGGAUCUCUCCCUAGCUUGGCUGGAUGGACAGGCGGGUGAGCGUUCAACAGGAAAGAAUGAGGAAGACGCCCCGUUUUACACCAGAGUGGUGUCCCUGCUGGAAGAGGUUGGCGAUCCCCUCGAUAGUCUGUUUGAUGACCUUGACGUGGACAGCACAGAAGGAGAGGUCCCAUUUUUCACCAAGGUGGUAAGUUAGCCUUCCUUCAGGUGAGGUACAGAUUCCCUUGUUUCUCUGAUACUCGCAAUCAGAUCCGAACACCUCAGCACGUACAAUGUCCUUGGUGGGGAGAUUCUUGAGGGAGCGACUCUUAGCCAGGGACACCCCAUUUCAAAGACCCUGAAGGAAACAGCAGGCUCGGUUACAGUCCACAGGGUCCUUAGCUUUUUCACGGGUGCUACUAACACCGCCGUGCCACCUAAUGGACCCAGGGCAUGCGACCUCUAGGUGGAUUCCAUAUCACUGCCCAUGACCCUGCCCAUCACCAGGAGAC